GAGCUGCGGAAUGGCGGCG
rnacentral:misc_RNA from 1 species